GGGUUGUGAGGUUAAGCGACUAAGCGUACACGGUGGAUGCCCUGGCAGUCAGAGGCGAUGAAGGACGUGCUAAUCUGCGAAAAGCGCCGGCGAGGUGAUAUGAACCUUUGACCCGGCGAUGUCCGAAUGGGGAAACCCAGUGCAAUUCGUUGCACUAUCGUUAACUGAAUACAUAGGUUAACGAGGCGAACCGGGGGAACUGAAACAUCUAAGUACCCCGAGGAAAAGAAAUCAACCGAGAUUCCCCCAGUAGCGGCGAGCGAACGGGGAGCAGCCCAGAGUCUGAAUCAGCUUGUGUGUUAGUGGAAGCGUCUGGAAAGUCGCACGGUACAGGGUGACAGUCCCGUACACGAAAGCACACAGGUUGUGAACUCGAAGAGUAGGGCGGGACACGUGGUAUCCUGUCUGAAUAUGGGGGGACCAUCCUCCAAGGCUAAAUACUCCUGACUGACCGAUAGUGAACCAGUACCGUGAGGGAAAGGCGAAAAGAACCCCGGCGAGGGGAGUGAAACAGAACCUGAAACCGUGUACGUACAAGCAGUGGGAGCACCUUCGUGGUGUGACUGCGUACCUUUUGUAUAAUGGGUCAGCGACUUAUAUUCUGUAGCAAGGUUAACCGUAUAGGGGAGCCGAAGGGAAACCGAGUCUUAACUGGGCGUUAAGUUGCAGGGUAUAGACCCGAAACCCGGUGAUCUAGCCAUGGGCAGGUUGAAGGUUGGGUAACACUAACUGGAGGACCGAACCGACUAAUGUUGAAAAAUUAGCGGAUGACUUGUGGCUGGGGGUGAAAGGCCAAUCAAACCGGGAGAUAGCUGGUUCUCCCCGAAAGCUAUUUAGGUAGCGCCUCGUGAACUCAUCUUCGGGGGUAGAGCACUGUUUCGGCUAGGGGGCCAUCCCGGCUUACCAACCCGAUGCAAACUACGAAUACCGAAGAAUGUUAUCACGGGAGACACACGGCGGGUGCUAACGUCCGUCGUGAAGAGGGAAACAACCCAGACCGCCAGCUAAGGUCCCAAAGUCAUGGUUAAGUGGGAAACGAUGUGGGAAGGCACAGACAGCCAGGAUGUUGGCUUAGAAGCAGCCAUCAUUUAAAGAAAGCGUAAUAGCUCACUGGUCGAGUCGGCCUGCGCGGAAGAUGUAACGGGGCUAAACCAUGCACCGAAGCUGCGGCAGCGACACUAUGUGUUGUUGGGUAGGGGAGCGUUCUGUAAGCCGUUGAAGGUGGCCUGUGAGGGUUGCUGGAGGUAUCAGAAGUGCGAAUGCUGACAUAAGUAACGAUAAAGCGGGUGAAAAGCCCGCUCGCCGGAAGACCAAGGGUUCCUGUCCAACGUUAAUCGGGGCAGGGUGAGUCGACCCCUAAGGCGAGGCCGAAAGGCGUAGUCGAUGGGAAACAGGUUAAUAUUCCUGUACUUGGUGUUACUGCGAAGGGGGGACGGAGAAGGCUAUGUUAGCCGGGCGACGGUUGUCCCGGUUUAAGCAUGUAGGCGGAGGUUCCAGGUAAAUCCGGUACCUUAUUAACGCUGAGGUGUGAUGACGAGGCACUACGGUGCUGAAGUAACAAAUGCCCUGCUUCCAGGAAAAGCCUCUAAGCAUCAGGUAACAUCAAAUCGUACCCCAAACCGACACAGGUGGUCAGGUAGAGAAUACCAAGGCGCUUGAGAGAACUCGGGUGAAGGAACUAGGCAAAAUGGUGCCGUAACUUCGGGAGAAGGCACGCUGAUAUGUAGGUGAAGCCCCUGCGGGUGGAGCUGAAAUCAGUCGAAGAUACCAGCUGGCUGCAACUGUUUAUUAAAAACACAGCACUGUGCAAACACGAAAGUGGACGUAUACGGUGUGACGCCUGCCCGGUGCCGGAAGGUUAAUUGAUGGGGUUAGCGGUAACGCGAAGCUCUUGAUCGAAGCCCCGGUAAACGGCGGCCGUAACUAUAACGGUCCUAAGGUAGCGAAAUUCCUUGUCGGGUAAGUUCCGACCUGCACGAAUGGCGUAAUGAUGGCCAGGCUGUCUCCACCCGAGACUCAGUGAAAUUGAACUCGCUGUGAAGAUGCAGUGUACCCGCGGCAAGACGGAAAGACCCCGUGAACCUUUACUAUAGCUUGACACUGAACACUGGUCCUUGAUGUGUAGGAUAGGUGGGAGGCUUUGAAGUGUGGACGCCAGUCUGCAUGGAGCCGUCCUUGAAAUACCACCCUUUAAUGGCUGGUGUUCUAACGUAGACCCGUGAUCCGGGUUGCGGACAGUGUCUGGUGGGUAGUUUGACUGGGGCGGUCUCCUCCCAAAGAGUAACGGAGGAGCACGAAGGUUAGCUAAUCCUGGUCGGACAUCAGGAGGUUAGUGCAAUGGCAUAAGCUAGCUUGACUGCGAGAGUGACGGCUCGAGCAGGUGCGAAAGCAGGUCAUAGUGAUCCGGUGGUUCUGAAUGGAAGGGCCAUCGCUCAACGGAUAAAAGGUACUCCGGGGAUAACAGGCUGAUACCGCCCAAGAGUUCAUAUCGACGGCGGUGUUUGGCACCUCGAUGUCGGCUCAUCACAUCCUGGGGCUGAAGUAGGUCCCAAGGGUAUGGCUGUUCGCCAUUUAAAGUGGUACGCGAGCUGGGUUUAGAACGUCGUGAGACAGUUCGGUCCCUAUCUGCCGUGGGCGCUGGAGAAUUGAGGGGGGCUGCUCCUAGUACGAGAGGACCGGAGUGGACGCAUCACUGGUGUUCGGGUUGUCAUGCCAAUGGCACUGCCCGGUAGCUAAAUGCGGAAAAGAUAAGUGCUGAAAGCAUCUAAGCACGAAACUUGCCCCGAGAUGAGUUCUCCCUGAGACUUUAAGUCUCCUGAAGGAACGUUGAAGACGACGACGUUGAUAGGUCGGGUGUGUAAGCGCAGCGAUGCGUUGAGCUAACCGAUACUAAUGAACCGUGAGGCUUAACCUUACAACGCCGAAG
rnacentral:rRNA from 1 species